GACGAACGCUGGCGGCGUGCUUAACACAUGCAAGUCGAACGAAGUGGCGAACGGGUGAGUAAUACGUAUGUAACCUGCCCUCCUUUUUGGGAUAAGCCUUGGAAACGGGGUCUAAUACCGGAUCAAGGGGGAUGGGCUGGCGGCCUAUCAGCUUGUUGGUGGGGUAAUGGCCUACCAAGGCGGUGCCGGGUAGCCUGCGUGAGAGGGUGAACGGCGACUGUGGGACGGAGAUACGUCCCAGACUCGUCCGGGAGGCAGCAGAGGCCGAUAUUGCGCAAUGGGUGACAGACUGAUGCAGCGAAGCCAAGUCGGGCGUGAAGGCUUUCGCGUUGUAAACCUCUUGCGCUAUCGAACGGGUAGGUGGAGAAGAAGCGCCGGCUAACUACGUGCCAGCAGCCGCGGUAAUAC
rnacentral:rRNA from 1 species